CAGCGCCUCGAGUCGAGAUACAUAGUUACUUCUGUGCGCGAACAGUCGACACGGGGACGAGCCUGAUUGCCCAUCGGGAGUUUACUGUCGUCUGUCAAUUUUCUGAUAGUAGUGUAUUCGAUUGACGAAAUCGCGUGCAAGUGCAUUGAAAAGUUAUGUAUCUCAUAUAUCACACUUCAGAGUGCAGUUCUACAGCAGGGGGAAAAAAUCCGGAAUAUAUGGACCUCGAGUAGUCGGGCAAGCAAGAAAAUUGAAUUCUCCUCAAGCGCAGGCAGGGGUGAAAAUUCACGCAAAUGCAAAGACGCUGCAAAGAAAUUCCUGGACGACAAAGAAGAGUGCGAAACCGUUGCUACGACUCGGCGGGAAAUUUUUAUUUUUCAUGCCAGGACACCUAUACGUAUCGUUGCGAAUGAAGGAAGUAGCUGUUAGAGGCGGUUCUUGCAACGUUAAAAGAAAUUUGAUAUUCGGAAACGUGGAGCAUGCAAAAAUAAAGCGAAACACAAAGCACCUCUAUACACGUGCCGUGAGAAAGUUUUGGAAGGGAGCGAUGUUAAUAAAACUGAUAAGCUGACACCUUUAUUAUCGCCUAGCACUUUCUGAGACAACGAAUUAAGAAAUAAUCCAAUUGCCAAUAAAGCGUGUAAAUAAAAGUAA